GACGAACGCUGGCGGCGUGCUUAACACAUGCAAGUCGAACGGUAAGGCCCUUCGGGGUACACGAGUGGCGAACGGGUGAGUAACACGUGGGUGAUCUGCCCUGCACUUCGGGAUAAGCCUGGGAAACUGGGUCUAAUACCGGAUAGGACCCUGGGAUGCAUGUCCUGGGGUGGAAAGCUUUUGCGGUGUGGGAUGGGCCCGCGGCCUAUCCGCUUGGUGGUGGGGUGAUGGCCUACCAAGGCGACGACGGGUAGCCGGCCUGAGAGGGUGACCGGCCACACGGGGACUGAGAUACGGCCCAGACUCCUACGGGAGGCAGCAGUGGGGAAUAUUGCACAAUGGGCGCAAGCCUGAUGCAGCGACGCCGCGUGAGGGAUGACGGCCUUCGGGUUGUAAACCUCUUUCAGCACCGACGAAGCGCAAGUGACGGUAGGUGCAGAAGAAGGACCGGCCAACUACGUGCCAGCCGCCGCCGUAA
rnacentral:rRNA from 1 species